CGCGUAGGCGGUCUUUUAAGUUCCGUGUGAAAUCCCUCGGCUCAACUGGGGAACUGCACGGGAAACUGGGAGGCUUGAGUUCGGGAGAGGGAAGCGGAAUUCCGGGUGUAGCGGUGAAAUGCGUAGAUAUCCGGAGGAACACCGGUGGCGAAGGCGGCUUCCUGGACCGACACUGACGCUGAGGCGCGAAAGCUAGGGGAGCAAACG
rnacentral:rRNA from 1 species